CAGUCGCCACGGGAAUACGAAGGGUGCAAGCGUUACUCGGAAUUACUGGGCGUAAAGCGUGCGUAGGUGGUGGUUUAAGUCCGUUGUGAAAGCCCUGGGCUCAACCUGGGAAUUGCAGUGGAUACUGGGUCACUAGAGUGUGGUAGAGGAUAGUGGAAUUUCCGGUGUAGCAGUGAAAUGCGUAGAGAUCGGAAGGAACAUCUGUGGCGAAGGCGACUAUCUGGGCCAACACUGACACUGAGGCACGAAAGCGUGGGGAGCAAACAGGAUUAGAUACCCGAGUAGUCCCUGUCUAUUAUAC
rnacentral:rRNA from 1 species